CCCCCCCCCAAUAAAAAAGGCAGCGGCAGUAGCGAGAGUCUCUCCCUCCGCCCUCUCUGACUCUUCCAAAACUUCAGUCCCCAAAGUUCAGCCCGAGCAGCAGAGAGAAAGAAAAAGCUUUCAGCCGAGAGCUAGAAGUGAUGGGAGGAGGGACCCAGGUUCGGGUCAGAGCCUCCACAGGUACCGAUGGCCGAGCCUAUCUGGCCAUCCUGCCCGUGAAGAUGCUGAGGUCACCAGUGCUGCCAAAGCCCACUCCCUUCCUCAGGCCCUGUAUUCAUGCGAGGGCAGGACAGGAUCUUUAAUAAGUGAACAUUAGCAGAACUUUCCAGGUGAUGUGAAAUAUAAAUACAAGGACAUUUUGCCUCCUGCCACCUUUUGGUGUGACUGCACACCUUGAUGACACAGCAGUUGGAGCACUUUUCAACAACUGCUACAUAACAGGAAUUUGCUCUGGAGCUGGUAUACUAAUGGAAAGGAGCUGAUUAUUGAAGAAAAGUAGAAUUCCCAAUCAUAGCUCAGAUUCCCUCCCAUUCUUCUGUCUUCAAGCUUCCAGAACUCGUGAUUGGGCAAAGGUAUUUCACAGGUAGUUUAAGAGUUACUAUUGUAGCACAUCUACCUUCACGAGUGGUGAGCUUGAACUAGCACAACCACAGUGUUAACUGCUCUGGUCAUUGCAUCAUCUAAAAUCUGAGUUGGCACUUCAGGUGUGAACAUUAACAGCUGCAUUAUUGAAAUCCUAUAAGAAAGUGAGAUAAUCUCAUCUCAGAAAGUAUUUUAAUAAUAUAUUAACUAUGGAGAGAUCUUAGCAGUGGGGUUCCACUUGUCUUGGUGAUAAGCAUGAUUUGCAGGAUUUUGAGAAAAAAAUUUCUUAAAUGAUCAUUAUUCCAGGCUGGUGCAACAUGACUACCAAAGAAACAAAGAAAGAACAGCAGUUGAAGCAAGAAUACUAGACAGUAUUCACUGACUUGAUAACCUACCUUUAUCCAUCCUUUAAAAAACAGGAGUUCUAACCACUACUGUGUCACACUCUUGAUAGUUUAGCCACCUUGACCCAUCUACUUGGUUUAGAAAUGCCUUGUUAGCAUUAGAACUUCCAUCUCAAAAUAUCACUCCAUAGUCAUCAACUGUCAAUAGCAGGAGCAAAGAGUCAGACAGAUUAUUUUUGUGUAUUAGCAUUUCAAUCUAUUGUACUACAGACAACAAGAGAAAUGCUAGAUGUCAUGAUGCUUGUAACAGCACAAUCUAGUUGCAGCCUCCUCCACCCUAAGACUCUUGUCAGUUCAUAUUGGUAGAACUACACAGAUAACAGAAAUAACAGAGAAAAUAAAAUUCUGGUGUCAGUAUAUCUGAGUGUAAUCCACUGUCUCAGAGAGACAGUCCUCUACUUUCUUUUUCCCAUUUGUACUCAUCAAAUAGGUGGGUUAUUUUCAAAUAAUUGUACUAUGGACUAUAAACUUGAGAGGGAGUAAGGAGUACAGAAAUAACCUUCCUGUACAAUAGGACCUCCCUUCUGACUUCGGGAGUUCAUGGGACCUAAAAUAAGAGGUCACACAGCCUCCCCAGACUCACUGCUGGAGUCUGCUGGUCCUCCUGACUGGUGUCACACUUAUGUGUGAUGGUUUUCCGGAUGCGCUCAACUGUCUGCUAGGGACUGAGCUGAAACCACUAAACUAAUUUCAUGUAGGAGUUCAGGUUUAAGCCAUUUUUAAACAACAUUAACAUAUUUCAUGUAUUUUCUCUCCAGGAAAAAAAAAAAAAAGCCCUUGAGAGUUGAAAGCAGAAUAGUUUCUAUAACAUAAGGUAAUCUUAAAUAUGAUAGAUGUAGGAUCUGCCUAUGACUUGCCGUCAAUUACAGAAUUUAUCCUAUAUCAGAUGAAACAAGUUUAAUAAACCACUUAAGUGUUAUAAGGUAUGCUUCCUACCAACAUGAAUUAUGUAUCUAUCUGCAGCCAAAUGUACGUGUUCUAUCACUCUGAAUAUUAAAUACAAAACCUAUGUUUAAAUAAUGUGAAGGGUCUGAUUUAAAGCAACAAAAGCCAAUAAAUUCAUAGUUUAUGCUGGCACUCUAUCCUUAACUCACACAAAUUGUUUCAAACAGGUAUAAUGGCAUGAAUUACACCUCUCUUACAUUUAUGUUUCUACUUCCACAUUUGAAUUUCCUGAGUUUUGUCAGCCCAAGUCUCUCCAUGAGUGUCUUUAAACAGAGUUCUAAAAUGUAAUUUAUUAGCUUUGUUUUUAUUUUCUAAGGCAAAUGUAUGCCUUAUACAAAAUUUGAAAAUGCACAUUUUUUUUCUGUCUGAGGAUGGAACACUUCCUUUGGAACUGUUUUAGUUUCACCAUUUAAUACACAGUCAGAAUGUUUAAAAAAUAUUUAUUAAUUACCUUACUAACUCUGUAUUAUUUACACAGGAGACUGUAACGAGUCCCUCAGAGCUUUUCUAAUCUCUUGAGUUACCAUAGAACUGGCCAGAUAUUUAGUAUGCUCAUUAAAAAAUAAUUGUUAUAAGCCAUUCAUAGAGUAUUAGCAAUAUGGAUAAUAGCAAAGUGAAGGUCUAUACAGUGUUCAUGUUUCAAAUGCUGAGCUGGGUUUUAGCUGCUUUGCUGUUUCUAUCAUUUUAUAUGGAAUCACAUAAACAUGAAGAGGACUUAAAGAGCCCAGAACAGAUUCUACCCAACUGGGGUUUUGCCAGAGGAUUCCAUAUAAGCAUAAUUGGAAAAAAAACUGAUAGAGAACACAAAGGAAAGGUAUGAUUUUUAUAUCUACGGCAAAGCUGUUAAUCAAGAAGUACCUGUAAGUCCUUGGUGAGAGGUGAGAAUGAAGCAAGAUGGCAUUCAACACUGUGAUGUCUCAGUACAGCAAAUAAAUGCAAAUCUCAACAAACAGGCACAUACAGCAGUCUUAAAAUGCCACCUUAGCUAUAAGUUCCUCCAGAGAGGAAUACAAGUUAUAGCUAAGUUGGGAGCACAGAAUGUGUCUACUAAACAAGAGAAAGUUCUGUUGUAUAGUAUAAAAACCUCAGACUUGGAAACUGAAAAAUCCUAAGUUGUGACUUUCAAAACUAUAUCAGUAUUUUGAGAAAGUCACUAAAUCAUUUUCCCUCUAAUUUUUCUCCAAAAUUCCUACCUGUAAUAUUGGAAUACAUGUAUGCAAAAUCCUACUAUCAUAUACUAAUAUUUUGAUAUGAAUUUCAGUAGGUUUGGUUAGGUUUUUAGUGUGGCCAGCUUAUCACAUCUGCUUGUAACUUUUGCAGUGUUCUUCAGCUAGCUUUACCUCUAAUGAGUUUGCUCUGUAUGCUUUUAUUGAAUUCAUUUGAAUAGGUCUAUUAUUGUGCUAGAGCUGCAAAGCUGUUAACAAAAAAAUCCCUUAAAAUUACUCUGGAAGGUAACGUCUUUCACAUAAAUGUUCAGAAAAAACUUAAUAUUUCUCUUCAGUUUAGUUAUACACCAAAUGUGAUUUUCAUUGUUGACAUUGUUCUUCUUCACCUUAAGAUGAGAGAAUACAAAAAUGCCAGUAAAUGUGGAAAAGGCUCAACACACUUUCUUAUGCUGUAAUUCAAAAGUAUUUUUAUUCUGUUAUUCUGAAGUCUGCACAUCUGCAAUAUGUGUAACUACAUGACCUUACACAUUUAGGGAUGCUUUACAUAUAAUUUUAGAAGUAUAAAGGCACAUGUUUAUCUACACCUGGCUCAGGAAUGCUAACUCUUGAGAUUCUUACGGUUCAAGAUUUUUCAGUGUCUGACUUAGCACAUAUGAUGUCAAAGGAUGUUGUAACCUAGAGAGUCAGAGAUCACAUCACAGUUAACGAUCAUAGGAAAUAUAAACCAAAAUUAAUAAAUGAAAGAAAGAACAUUGCUUGCUUGAAAAUAAAAAAAAAUAUUUUGUACACGAAUUGGACAAGUCUUGUUCACUGUCUCUCUUGCUGCAGACAUUUUGACGACCAUGAGUUCAGUCUCCAAAUUCAGUUCACUGAUUAACUGUGGUUUUGAAUGCAGACCCAUAAUCCAGUGCUAAUGUCUCACCUGAAAAAGACUACCUUACAAAAUAUUUUAAGUGAAAGCCCAUAUGCUAGUUCUUUUUCCUCUGGGAGUGUGAGGGUCUACCAAGGUAUCUAUGUGACUAACGUAAUUUCAUAAUUACGUAGUACAAUACAUUUAGAAACCAUGCAUGAAUGUAUGCACAUACACAAAAAGUAAAUAGGUUAAGUUAUGGCAGUUUUGUUUAGCUGGUUAUAAGCCAUAUGUACAAAUGUAUAGGGGAUUCUAUAUGGUUUAGUGCUCCCAACUUAGCUAUAACUUGUAUUCCUCUCUGGAGGAACUUAUAGCUAAGGUGGCAUUUUAAGACUGCUGUAUGUGCCUGUUUGUUGAGAUUUGCAUUUAUUUGCUGUACUGAGACAUCACAGUGUUGAAUGCCAUGCAUGUACAUGCAUGAAUGUAUGCACAUACACAAAAAGUAAAUAGGUUAAGUUAUGGCAGUUUUGUUUAGCUGGUUAUAAGCCAUAUGUACAAAUGUAUAGGGGAUUCUAUAUGGUUUAGAAUAAAGGCCUGAUGUACGUAUAGAUCAUUACAUGUGUAUCCUUGAAGACAGAGCCAGACAAGCAAGUAAGAAUACCUAAUACAGAAGUGAACAGAUAUUGAAUGCAAAAAGUAUCUAAACAAGAAAAUCUUCAUAGUUUUACAGAAAUAGGAACUAUAAUAUAGAGAAGGUAAAUGAUGGUGGUUAUUGUGAUUUUAAUUAAUUUGAGUCAUUUGUGUCUCAAGGAUUUAUUAAUUUUCUUUUUAAUCUUUAAAGAAAAUUGAAAAAGAAGAUGUUCUGUGUUUGCUUUUGAAUGCCACAUCUCAUUCUUCAGAAUGGGAUAAGGCAGGAUAAAUUCUUUUAUUGCUGCAGUUGAUUAACAAUGGAGAUUUAUGUGUGAUUUAUGUGUAUUAUAGCAAACAAUGAUCAGAAACAGAGGGAAAAUAGGAGCAACAAGUCUUUUUUCUCUAUUUUAUGAUAUGCAAAAAAUAUUUUAGUUCUUGUUUUUCUCCUGUUUUUAAAGACAUUUUAAGUUUUGUGGGUCUUAGAAACAUUUUAAGUUUUGUGGGUCUUUGGGUUUCAGUUUAACAAUUAAAGAAAUUAUUACAUCAACAGAAUCACAAGUUAACAAGUUAAGCAAGUGAAGGAAGGAAAUUUCUCUUAAUCUUGAAAAUACUGCCUAUGAGCUUACAUCCCUGACUUUAAAAAAGUAAGGUUUAUCAGCCAUAUGCUUCCAAAGCCUCCAGUGAGCAGCUUUUAUUCUUCAAAAUCCUAGAUAGAACUGUCGUUAUUCAACAUUCAUGUAUUACACCACACUUUAUUUUACAUGCAUAAUCUGUUAACCUGAUUUUCCUUUUUUGACCUUUGUUUUUAAUUCUGUUUACAUAGGUGAUGAUUUCUGUGCUAUUUCUUGAGGUAGAACAGAAUUUUGUUGUAAUAGGUAAGGGUGUUGUUGUUGCUGUUUUUACUGCAGCAGUAACUAAAAAGCAGCUGAAAAGAUUUGUUCAGACAACCCAGGAAAAGCAUUCCUUGGCCAGAGAUCAAAUAGAGUCUACAUUUUGACCUGGUUUAGAAUUGUGUCUGCAUUUAGAAUAUUCUAAAUAAAAAGCAUCCAGAUAUAGGUGCUAACAAUUUAAAAUGACAGUUCUCAGUUGAAAGAAAUUGGAAUUUCGGGUAUUUAUGUACAAGUUAUGAAUUUUUUUUGCUAUAUUAAAUUGACUUAGUAUUGAAUCACACAGUGCCUCUAGAUUCACACAUCUGCUGUCUGGAUUCUUGUAAAAUAUACAGGGUGGACACUGAAAAGUGACUAGUCCUCUCAGCUGCAGAACAGUGUUUCAGAAUAACACUGUGUCUGAAGCUGCAAAUUCCAGAUUGACUCAACUUUUUUACAUGCUGGGGAUGCUGUACGUGGGAGCAAAGGUAUACCAGCAAUUCCCCAGAAAUGGGAAUCCAAGUUAUUGGAAAUUUAUUGAAGUUAUUAAAAUUUUGGUAUAUGUAUUUAGAAACACACAGAGAAGUAGACACAAAAGGACCCCACUUAAAAAUGAACAGGACAUAAUGAUACUCGAAACAGAAGUCAUGAAAUACUAGUAUUUCCAAAAGAAGACCCGUUGGAGGAGUUCAGCUCAGCAGAAGUGAUGUGAAAAGUGCAGUGUCACAGAUGUGAACCUCGUGAACAUUACCGCUGGUGAGAAAAUGAAAGCUAGCAAUAUGAGUAUUUGACGUUUUACUUAGAUCUGAAUAUCUCUUUUGCCUUCUAAAGUACAGAUUGAUUGUUCUUAUCAAACAUUUUGACAGUCUUUGUCUGCUUGUUCUAUUGAUCAGAUGACCCUGAAGGGGUGAACUGUAAAUCAGAGAGAGGAGCUCUAGGAGGGACGUUGUUCAAGUUACUGAGAUGCUUUAUGAGGUAUUCGGCGCUCCUGUAGAGUUCAAGGCAACUGGAAUGUGGAUACUCAAAUCUAGAAAGGAUAUGGACAUCAUUAGGAAAUACAUUUCUGACCACUUUCAUGGUGUCUAAUGUUUGGCUAGGAAUCCGUCAUGUGCAUCUGUCUUUUCAGUCUCGGAAUAAUCAAAAGAAAAAGAAAGAAAAAAGAGAAAAAAAAAAAAGAACCAGUUUCUGUAUUCAGGUUUCAGAAGUGGAAAACCAGUCAAUGACUUCUCAGAGACUUCUGGAAUUUGUUGUUCCAACAACUGAGGUCUUGCACGGUGUAAAGCAUAGCAGCUACUGCUGUUGUCAAAUGAAAGCUGCACUGGAGCAACUGAAGAGCCAGCAGCAUCUUCCAGGCAGCAACAGGGACAUGCCUGUCUCCUGCUGUUUUUUUGAGAGGGGAACCGGUGAAUCUGUAAUUGUGCAACUUGUACAAGGGAACAGCGAAAGAAGAUCCAAUCCAAAAUACACUGAAGACAAGCGGGUCUUUCUCUUACUGUCGUGGGCUGUAGAUAACAGCACAACUGACUUAUGCUUACUCUGACAUGGGGAUGGAGUUCAACCAUUUUUAACUGUAGCAGCAACAGUAUCUAGAGAAAAAUACAAAAUCAAAUCUGCUGUGAGAAGAAUCUCUGCCUGUUUUAACAUGAGUAUCUAAGGUAUUACAUGAAUAGGAAUUGUGUUUUAAUAUUUAGCUACUUUAUUAAUUAAAUUUUAAAUUAUUUUUAGUUACAUAUAGAAAUUUCUUACUGCAUAUACAUAGUAGACACCUGUGAGUUAUUUUAUCUGUUAUGGUAAUAAUUUAUAGUUGAAGAAAGAAAGGAAAAGGUAUAAAUGACGUUUUAUUUUUCCAUUUUAAGCUUCAGUUUAUUAACCUGUUUGGAUAACUGUUCUCAAAAAAGUGUAUUAUUAUAAAUGUUGUCACCUGCAUGACUAAGACUAAAACAUGGAUGCAUAAAAUUAGACAUUAAAGCUAGAGAAAAAUAAGAGCUAGAAAAUUCCUUCUUGACCUCACCCUUCUGCAGAUUUCACAAGUGGUAUUAUAAUGGCUACAAGAAUAUUGAGCCAGAAAUUACUAAGUCAUUUGGACACAAAAGAAGGAGUGAUCUUAUCAGUGUUACUUUUCUUUCUGAGAAAAACUAAAUUGAUCCUUGCAAGAGGUCUAGGAAUUUUCACAACGAGGGCAUCAUUUUCUACACCUUUUAUAUCAAGUAGACAUUUUCUGCUUUAAGAAAGAAUGAUCACAACCCCUCAUAAUUUUGAAGUUUUUGCACUUUUUAGUCAUAUACGUUGUAUACAAGGCUGAGGAAGAAUUCAACCUUUGAUUGGAGCAUCAUUCUGAUUUGGAAAGUGUCUGUCAUUUGAACAUUGCUCAUACUCCCAUCAUGUGACUCAUAAGGUACUGUAGGCAAAGUGAAAUAAAAACAAAACAAAGCAAACAGGAGCUAAAACAAAAAGUAAAUAAAGCUUUCAUUGUUUUGAAUAGUCUUCUAUGGUCUGUGACUCUUAAAUGUGUGUGUGUGUUAUUUACCACAACACAUAACCAUACGUUUCUUCCCACCCAUCAUUUUUCAAGGAGGUAAUACUACUGGUACUACUACUACUGAUACUAGUGAUACUAAUAACAAUAGUAUUAAUACUAUUACUAUGUUUUACACACAUACUCUUCCAAAUUCUUAAGUAAAAUCUCCAUUUUGGCCAAUUUUAUUGGGCCUUAAACAAUAAAAUUACAUCAUUUGUGGUGUAUUGCAUGGCAGAGUCACUCAACCAAACGGAAUGCUUUGACAGCCUGCAGAUGGUUCAUAUAGCUCAGUCCUGUUUGAUUAUUUUAAUAAUCUAUCACAAAUUAUCUAUAAAUGCUGUUAUUGAUACAUACAGUUCAUUUUAGGGACAGCAUAAUAAUUAUCAAAUUGUACAAGAAUAUUGUCGCAAGAACCUUAAACUGUUGUGUUCUUGUAAGAGGCUCAUUAUUUUGCCUGCUUAUCUUUUCUGGAGAUCAGAAUAUUUAUGGAAUCCACUAAUAACCCCCAAAAUCUAUCAACACCUAAAAGGCCAUUGUGAUCUUUAAACAUAUUGGCUAACAAUGAGUCAGCUUUGGUGAUGACAGUUUUAUAUACAUUUAUGUUGUAAUUAAGCUUUAGUUACUUAAUGGUAUGUUGUUUUCAGGCUUUCUACCUCAAAUGCCCAGUACUCCUUUGUCUCUCAUGCUUUUUGCAGUGCUUGAAAAGUUGUAUAAAAUCAUAUUAAAUAACCUAGGAUCUUACUUAUGCUAUACUUAUACUUACUUACUGACUUACUAGACUUUCUUUCUUACUUUUGGAUAGCUGUCUUUUGGUUGCCUUUUAUAGUGUCAGUUUAUUUCCUUCAGAGAAAAAUAUGGUGGUGUUUCUGUGAUGAUUCCUGGUGAUUCAGUGAUAAUUAUAUUGAGUAAAGUAUAUUAUUUUUUAUACUUUUAUCCUGCUGCGUGAGAGGCUGCAGAACAACCUAGCAGUUUAUGCAAUGCUGUGCUGCUUAUUAGUGCUGUCAAGAGACCUUGGGAUAUCAGUCAUACAAGCAUGUUCAGACCAACUUUACAGUGCCUGUAAUGCUUGCCCUACUUUGAGUGCAAUGUAGCAUGGAUGAGUUUAUGUUUGACAAACUGGAUUUGCUGUGCACAUACAGUGCUAUAAGGACACGUGCUAUACUAAGGUCCCUUAAUAAGGUUUGGCAGUAAUUCCUUAAGAAAUGGACUGUGCUGAUAUCACCUAAGCCCUAAACAGAGUGCAAGAACUUCGUAGUAUCACAGAGAAUCAGAGUACCUUGUGAGAUGUAAAGGAACAAAAGGUGUAAAAAUAGUAGCAGGUUUAUGUAACAGGAAGAGUUGACACUGCCACAUUUAACAGUACAAUGUAUUAUUCAGAUCCAUGUUCUUUCAUAGACUUUUUGUCGAAAGCAGUUACAUUUCUUCUUGCCAAUAAAUAAAAGGGUCAAGGACACACCUAACUCUUUUCUUCCAACACUGCUAAUUUGUAGAGGGGAGCCACUUUGUGAUAUGCUCUGAAUAUCGAAGUUUACUCAAGAUGAUAAGAAAUAAGGCAUCCACCCCCCUGAAGAAAAAAAAGGAAAAAACAAACAAAAAGACCACAACAUCAACAACAACAAAACCAAAAUCAAACCAAAAUCAAACCAAAAAACCCAACCAAAACUAACCACAAAAAAACCACACCAAAACCAAAAACCAAACCAAACGAAACCAAAAAUAACAACCAAAAAACAAAGG